CCAAUUAUCUGCUUAACUCCAAGUCAGUGAAUUCCCCAGUGCUUCCGAGACAAACAAUAGAUAGUAUAAAGACUUUUGGCAGUUGACAGUUCCAUUUGGCUAGGGUUUGUAGCAAAUCCUUCUUAAAACUAAAGCUAUAUUUUUACAAAAUAAAAGCAACUAGCUGAGUUAAUUUCAAGCAGUCACUCAAGAUGUUUGCUUGAUGCAUUAGAAAACCAACUUUUGAAGGAUGUUUGAAUUCUCAUCCCUUUGGACACUACAUGGACACAUGCUCAGAAGAAGUGGAAAAAAUUUUCAUCUUUGCAUUUCUCAUGUUGAUUUUGCUUUUGUGGAAAAGGUGGUGUGCUCCUGCCUCAACAUGGGGGGAAUAAUCUUCAGGUGGCCCUCCUCAGCCUGUUUCAUGACUUCAAUCAUGUCAAUGUUGGCCUCUACCUACCUGUGGGCCUACCUGGACAAAAGGAAAUGACUGGACAGCAUCUCAGGAGCAGUAAUGCUCUGUUACCUCCUCUCGAAUAAGCUCAAGCAUGCUGAAUUUCUGUGAAAAAUCCAGCAAGAAUAAGGAUCAGCUGCAACAGAUAACAAAGGGCUGAUUUGGGGCCCAAGCAGAGCCAAUGAGUGGCCACUUCAUGGUCAGUUUACUUCAGUUGUCUUAACCACUGAAUUGUUGCCAACUUGCAAAGAUAAGAUGAAUUGCGAGGAGAGUAACUUGCAAAUAGCCAAGCCAGUCAGCCAUACAGACACAGACAGAGUAAAAAUGGAGGUCAUCUAUUCACACUCAUCUGGCAAGGGAUGAAGGGUUUUGCAACUCGAGAUCAUUUAUAUGAAAUGAACUUCAUGCUGAAAGGAAGAAGCAAAUAGCUUCUUAGACAAGGGCACUGAAAUUUGGAAUUUAUUCUGAAAGGAGGCUUGGAGACUAUCUAGUCUAGUCACUUUUCGUUAUAGAAGAAACUGAGGAAAAGGGAGAUAAAUAAAUUAGCCAUCAUCACUGGAGUUAAGGUGAGAGCCACUAAUAGAGUUUGGGAUUCCAUCUUCCAGUUCAAUAUCAAUACAAUAUGCAAAGGAAAAGUCCUUUCAAAAAUUUUUUUUUUUGGUACCGGGUUUUGAACUUGGGUUCUUGUGCUUGUGAGGCAGGCGGCGGAACCACCGAGCUAAAUCCCGGCCCAAAAUUUCUUUUUUUAAAGUUACAUUGGAGGAAGUUAUAUAUUCUAUCUACCCCAAGGCCAGUGAGAAUUGAUUAAUGAAUGUGUAAAAAAGGAGGGACAUACUAGCCUCCCAAGGAUGUAACAUUAAUAUCCCCUAGACACAAGAACAGAAGAGGGGCAUAGGAAGAGUGUCUACUUCUUGGUAGAGAAGAUGGCCAGUGUUCAGUUUGCCUUUUAGAAUUAAACACCUUGUACCUUCCUUGUACUUAUAUAUACAUAAACUUUUUCUUAAAAAUCUUAACAUCCCAGGUUUACCAAAGAGGAAAACAAGGUUGCAAAAGUUUCAUGGAUAUCUUGGAGCUUUUAUUUAAAUUAAAUAUUAUACUUCACUUAAGUGCUAAUAAUCUUUCUGAGCAGUUGAUUUCAUGAUGUCUAGUAGGCAGAAUUGGGAAGUCUGUGGCUCUACUGUUUUGCCAGAAUUAAUUAGGCAGAGUGUCCUCAACAGUUGUAGGUUAACCCUAGUUCAUGACUUCAUAACACAUUUUCCAAAAAGUACUUUGGCUUUGUAUAUUUAUUCCCAUAAUACUCAACUUGCAUAAUCAGAAAAUAAGAAAAAGAUCAACAAACAAAGACAAUAAGCAAAAUAGCCCCCAAAAGUAAAUACUACCCUUCAUUGUCCAUGUACUUUUCCUUUUUUCUUUUCUUAUUAUGCAAUAUUCAAACUUCUUCCAAUUGUUAGUUGCUUGGAAAAAUUACAAAACAAAAAUAUUUGAAAUUGUACUUAUUUUUAAAAAUUAUAACAAGCAUUGUGUGAAAUAGUAUGUGUUUAAAUUUUAAAGUUUAUGAAUUUACUUCUAUUACCUUUUUCUUAACAAAGCUAGGUACUCAGUUAUAUUUGUGUUCCUCAUGUGGCUUAAGAACCUUAAUUUAAAAUUGUCAAAGGGAUCAGAAUGGUUGAUUAAUACCUUUAAAAGGAAAGUCAUUAUUUUCUUCUGAUAACUAUUACUAUAGGACUGGAGGUUUUAAGAAUAAACAAUAGCAAUAACAAAAGAAAACACAGGAAUGAUUUUUACAGCUAUGUUGCUGUAACUGCAUUUAUCGUGUCAGAAUGCUAUCAGUGAUAAUGUCUUACUGAAUAAGCAGGUAGUUCACCCGAUCUCCAUCUCCACAGCACCUAAUAAAUACUGCAGGCACACAGAUAAAUCUCAUUUUGUGUUCUGCUUGGUCACAAGAAAGAAUUAGAUUGUGUUGUUCUAAGGAGUAGGAGGAUAUAUAUCCAUUGUCAUCAUCCAUAAAAAUUACUUUAAGUCGAACCACUAUGAGCUUGUUGGACACAUGCAAAAUCUAGAUACCAUAUUUUAGUCCAUUUUAUGUUGCCCUGAAAAAUUUUUUUUCCUAUAUCUCAGUGUGAUUUGCACCAGACCUUUAGAAAUGAGAUGAAAUUUUUAGACUUUCUUCCUGAGGAGCAUAUUGCAAAAUAGAAAUAUUGACUUUAUUUCAUUCAGGCAAAAUUGGUUAUUUAUUUUUACUUAUGACCAUUAUAAAAUAGGACUGAGCUGGCUAGUUAUGAUCAAAUAAGAAUGAUCUAUAAUAUUUCCCUGGUUACUGAAUAGAACCCAAACCAUAUUAAGGUCAGUGAUGUUAGAUAAUUUCCCAGCACUGAAAAGAGGCAAUAGGAUGAACAUUACUUUGGACAGCGUGUCUAAAUCACAGUGGUAGAACUUCAGUCAUGCAUGCUCUUCUAAUAGGAACACAAAAGAAUCAGUCUCAUUUCAGACAUGAUAAUAAUGUGGACUUAGACGGCCAUAAUACACUUGUAAUUAUUUUUCAGUCGGUUGGCUAAUUUGAUGAUUCCUAGAAUGAAACAGUCUACCAGCUCUAUAUUUAGCAGACACACACACACACACACACACACACACUCACACAGAGUCACAACUGAAAUAAAGCAGUAUAUUAGUGUCAAGUUUCUUUGACUUUCAACAAUCUAAAGGACAAUGAAACAAAUUGUGUAAAAUGAAGUUUUAUACAUAUUCAUAGACCAUUUAUAGCCUAUCAUAUUUUAUAAUUUAACACCUUAAAAUUCAAGAUGAAGAG
ensembl:lncRNA